rnacentral:rRNA from 1 species
AGCGGCGAACGGGUGAGAAACACGUGAGUAAUCUGCCCUGCGCUCGUGGGAUAGCCACCGGAAACGGUGAUUAAUACCGGAUAGGACCACUUCACGCAUGUGAUGGUGGUGGAAAGUUUUUUCGGCGCAGGAUGUGCUCGCGGCCUAUCAGCUUGUUGGUGAGGUAACGGCUCACCAAGGCUUUGACGGGUAACCGGCCUGAGAGGGUGACCGGUCACACUGGGACUGAGACACGGCCCAGACUCCUACGGGAGGCAGCAGUGGGGAAUAUUGGACAAUGGGCGGAAGCCUGAUCCAGCAACGCCGCGUGAGGGAUGACGGCCUUCGGGUUGUAAACCUCUUUCAGUACCGACGAAGCGAAAGUGACGGUAGGUACAGAAGAAGGACCGGCCAACUACGUGCCAGCAGCCGCGGUAAUACGUAGGGUCCGAGCGUUGUCCGGAAUUAUUGGGCGUAAAGGGCUCGUAGGCGGUUUGUCGCGUCGGGAGUGAAAACACCGGGCUUAACUCGGUGCUUGCUUUCGAUACGGGCAGACUAGAGGUAUGCAGGGGAGAAUGGAAUUCCUGGUGUAGCGGUGAAAUGCGCAGAUAUCAGGAG